UGGUGGGCGGUAAGUUUGGUCGGUGCGUUGCGCCGGGUGAGUUGACCCGUUCCCAUGCCGAACACGGUCGUCCCCCGCCCGCACGCUGAGACUACUGGUCCCGUCGGGGACCGGGAUCAUCAGGCCGUGCCGACCAGUUAUUGUGACGAGGCUGCCCCGCAUACGGGCAGCCUUUUU
rnacentral:rRNA from 1 species